rnacentral:lncRNA from 1 species
GAAAAAUCCAACCACCCACCGACGACCCAGAUCGGAGGUUGCUUCUGUUCAGUGAAGAAUGUGAGUUUUGAAACUAUUUUCUACCAUUAAUCUUUGAAAUGGUACAUUUUGAUGUUUCUUUGGUGAAAAAUCAUUGUAAAAAUGGUUGUAGAACAUAAAUAAUGGAUAAAAUUAUGAUUGGGUGAUUUAUUGGGGCGAAGAUCGUCGGAAAUGGCGAUCUCCAUCGUUUGCAGCCAUCUGCGUGUGCCUGUCUUCGUCUGGAUCCGUGUGAAUCUAGACGGCUAGGGCUGGGUCGUCUGGAAAUGGGUCCAACCAAAUUUUUUUGUAAUUAAUUUUUAAUAUAAUUCUUUAUUUAAAUAAUUAUUUUAAUUGUUUAUGUAUAUUAUCUUAAUUAAUAUUUAGUUAUUUUUUAAAUAUUUAAAUAAUUACUUAAUUUUUUUAUGUAUAUUAUUUCUGUUUAAUAUUUAACUGUGUAUAUAAUUUACUUGUGCAUUUAAAUAUUUCAUGAUUUACGUUAAUUGUCUAUUUAAGUAAAAAACAAAUAACGAAUGGAAAUAAAUUAAAUAAAUUUUAAUUAAACAAUUAAAAUAAUUAAUUGAAAUAGUAAAUAACUAUUUGAAAUUACUUAAAUAAAUAAUUAAUUAUUAAACAAAUAAUAGACAUAAACAAUUCAAAUAAUUAUUUAAAAAUCAAUAAAUAAUUAAAUUAAAUUAAGUAAUUGAAAUAAAUAAAUGAAAUAACUAAUUUAAUAGUCAGUAAAGAAUAUACAUUAACAAAUUAAAAUAAUUAAUGAAGUAUAUAAGUAAAACAUUAAAUAAAAUAUAUAAUGAACAAUUUAACUAAGUAAUUAAAAUACAUAAUUGAAUAAAGUAAUUCGAUAUUAAACAAAUAAUUUGCAUAACAAAUGAAAAUAAUUAAUGAAACAUUUAAAUAGAAAAUUAAAAUUAAAUAUUAAUUGAACAACUAAAAUAAAUAAUUUAAGUAAAUAAAUAAACAAUUUAAAUAAAUAUUUAACCAUUAAAUAUUCAAUAAACAAUUAAAGCAAAUAAAUUUUGUCGACCAAAAAAUAUUAAUUAAUAUUUAAUUGAAAUAAUAAAUAACUAAUUGAAAUAAGUUAAAUAAGCAAGUAAAUUAAAUAUUAAUUUAGUAACUAAAAUAAGUAAUUAAAAUAAAUAAUGAGAUAUUAAACAAAUAAUAUACAUAACCAAUUAAAAUAAUUAAUGAAAUAUUCAAAUCAAAUAUUAAAAAACAAUUAAACUCUGUAAUUAAUAUAAAUAAUCAAAUAAAGUAAAUAAAUAUUAAAUAAACAAUUCAAAUAAGUAAUUUAAAUAAUUAAAUAAAGUAAUGAAAUAUUAAACAAACAAUAUACAUAAUCAAUUAAAAUAAUUAAUGAAAUAUUAAAAUAAGAGUUAAAUGAAAUAUAAAAUAAAUAAUUAAAAUAAAUAAUUUAAUAAAGUAAAUAAAAAAGAAACAAAUAAUAUAUAUAACCAAUGUAAAUAAACAAUUAAAAUAUAUAAUUGUGUUGAAAAAAUAUUAAUUAAUAUUUAAUUUAAUUGUUUAUUUAAAUUUUUAAGUAAUUAUUUUAACUUUUUAUGUAUAUUAUUUCCUUUAUUCCAUCAUCUGUUUAUUCUUACGUGUAGUAGUUACAGUUCGGUUAGAUUAGUUUUCAAAUAUUAUGCUUUAUCCAUUGUCUCCUAUACAAUGUUCUAACACUUUAAAUUUUGCAGAUAUGGAUUACAAUUUGGAUGCCACCAUGAGACAAAUUCCCAACAAAGUUAGGUCAAAAUGUAACUUUGCCAGCCAACUUCGCAGCAGUCCUGAAUUUGUUGGAUGAGGAGCACGCAGACAUGCUAUGUAGAUCCUACUUAUGGCCGCUGUAUGUGUUGCGCGACGUACAGUUCUCUGGCCAGCUGCUCGAUGUAGUACUAUGCCGGCUGUUUCAGCCAGUCGAUGGAGCUGCCUUCCAUUUUGAUCUUACGGGCAAGUUGCUACAUUUUCUAUAUUUGAGUUUACCCUCAUCACUGGAUUGAGAUGUACGGGUGAGGAAGCAGCGAGGGCUUGAGUUCCGAGUGACAGGAGGCUACUGAAUGAGUACUUCAAUGAGCAGACGACGGUAACUCUGGUACAGUUAGGAGACACAUUUAAGGAAUGCGACGAUAUGUCUGACAGGCUGAAGUUGGGGAUGGUGUUUAUAUUGGAUAGUGUACUGAGGUGUCAUCACAAAAAGACAUUGAUCGACGUCUUUCGUUUGAAAGUUGUUGAUGAUAUUGACACAUUCAACAGCUAUCCAUGGGGACAAUGAUGUUUUAUCGAUACGUGUCGCGUCUUCAGGAGUCGAUAUUCGAUGCCUAAGGGGAGUAGGCCCGAGCGCAAGUGCGAUGCAUACGGCCUGUACUGGCUUUGCAGGUAAAUGUUUACCGUAAUGAAUUAUCUAACUUUUUAUUGAAUUCGAUGCACAGUUUUCUGCAAAUCUUUCUUUGAUUCGAACAAUUGCUCGACAUAUACAUCUUCAUCAUCGAGAACCACACGCCCACAAUUAGAAGGCCGUGUACUCGGUCCAGUCUGUGAGUUUCAAGUCGACUCAUGUCUUCCACGGGAUAAAGCAAUUAAAUCCUCGUUUGUAAAUGUAUUUUCAUUCUCGUUGUCUUCAACUACCGAGAGAAUUCUAUGCGUCACAGUGUAAUCAUGGUGAAUAACAACUAUCUCAGGAAUAACCAUAUCAUCUUCAUGAGUAAUAUGAACUGUAGCCCAUAAAUCAUUUACAUUACGAUCCUCUUCAUCGGAAACUUCGUGUUCACCCUUAGAGACAUUCUUCCUCGAUAAAGUUAUGAAAAUAGGAGUUGACUUUCGGUCUUGGUUCAAUUUAAUUAAAUGCUUCAUCUCCACUUCAGAAGUAACUUUCAUACGUGGAAUCGAAAUGGUUGAAUGCUUCUAAAAUAAAAUCUCAAAUCCAUAUCGUACUGAGAGAGAUCGACGUUAAGCAGUUUUGUAUAUCAUGGUACAUUUCUAUAAACGAUGUACUUCUUGUUAUACAAAUUGCUUUAACUCCAUGUCACUCACUUGUCUAUUUUCAUUCCCACUGACCAUUUUCAUUUAUUUGAAAUUCACCGAAGAAACAAAUUGGAACACAUGCUG